rnacentral:rRNA from 1 species
UACGGGGGGUGCAAGCGUUGUUCGGAAUUACUGGGCGUAAAGAGCUCGUAGGCGGUUUGUUGCGUCGGCUGUGAAAUCCCGAGGCUCAACCUCGGGUCUGCAGUCGAUACGAGCAAACUAGAGUGUUGCAGGGGAGACUGGAAUUCCUGGUGUAGCGGUGAAAUGCGCAGAUAUCAGGAGGAACACCGGUGGCGAAGGCGGGUCUCUGGGCAACAACUGACGCUGAGGAGCGAAAGCGUGGGGAGCGAACAGG